rnacentral:lncRNA from 1 species
AUUUUCCUCAUUCAUCUUUUCCUGGAAAAGGUUUCCACGUGAGUGAGCAAAGAAAAUAACCUGCCAUCACAAGCAAACCUGGAGACAUUUCUGCCCAGUUUGGGUUGUGUAUUUGUCACACACACACAUUCAUACACACACAUACAGACCAGGUGUAGGAGCAAUACAAAUGCACUGUUAUGAACUGACAGACUGUAUUCAGUAAAUAUCUAUACAUGCUUACAUUCUUUGUCUUCUAACAGUCUGUUUCUGAGACUGUAGUACGUACAAAGAGUAAACAUUGGGAUCUGACCACGUAGUUGCUGGUGACAGUGAGAUGCCUCAUCUCUCUUUUCAGGUAUUUUAAGCCAACACGUGAUGGCAGGAAUCCUGUGAGCCAUGGACUGCCUCCUCCAGAAUCUGCCCUUAUUCUGGUGCUCCUAAAUACUAACUAAACUGUUCCUGCUGGAGUGUUACCUCGAGCUAAUUCAUGCCAGCAUCCCGAUGUGUGCAGGAAGUGUUCUCCCUGCUUCGAGGUUAAUCUCGUUAGCCACUUACAAAAUAAAGAAUUGAUCAGUAACAGGCAUCCUGCUCUGCUUAGAGUAGCACUGAGCAUCUCAGAGUGCCCCAGGCUCCCAGGGCUUGGCAUUGGGGUAUGCUGUCCCGAUGCUCCAGGUAAAAUACUGACAAUUUUAACAUCAGUGUUGUUGACACACUUUUUUUCCUUUUACUGUGAUUUUACCUUUUUUUUUUUUUUUUUUUUCCAAUUUCAAGAGUUUCCCAGUGCUUCUAUAAUUCCUCUUUCCACGAAUUAGACAAACAAUAAGAUCCCUUUCUUUCCUUAGAGCAUUUUUAGCACUUGCC